rnacentral:rRNA from 1 species
GAUGAACGCUGGCGGCGUGCCUAAUACAUGCAAGUCGAGCGAACGGACGAGAAUCUUGCUUUUCUGAUGUUAGCGGCGGACGGGUGAGUAACACGUGGAUAACCUACCUAUAAGACUGGUAUAACUUCGGGACACCGGAGCUAAUACCGUAUAAGAUUUUGAACCGCAUGGUUCAAAAGUGAAAUACGGUCUUGCUGUCACUUAUAGAUGGAUCCGCGCUGCAUGAGCUAGUUGGUAAGGUAACGGCUUACCAAGGCAACGAUGCAUAGCCGACCUGAGAGGGUGAUAGGCCACACUGGAACGGAGACAGGGUCAAUACUCCUACGGGAGGCAGCAGUAGGGAACCUUACGCAAUGGGGGGAAGCCUGACGGAGUAACGCCGAGUGAGUGACGACGGCCCUGGGAGCGUAAUACUCGCUUACUAGGGAAGAACAUAUGUGGCCGUAACUGUGCACAUCGUGACGGUAACUAAUAAGAAAGCACCGGCUAACUACGUG